ensembl:lncRNA
GUCAGCCCUGGAGUCCUGUGUGUGCGGCCCCAGCCACUGAGAACUUGGAGAGCCGUGUGUUUGGUGGUAAGCUGGGGUUCAGGCCUGAGAGGUUUUCAUGCAGUCCGUGGUAAGAUGUUGAAGCCCUGAUGGCAUCGGGACCUCACAGAAGUUCAAGCGGAUGAGCUGAGGAAAAAAAGCAAACCAUUUCUUGUGAUGGUAAAAGUAUUAAGCUUCUAUUCCCUGUGUACAGUGGGAAAGGCACAGGAAACUUUUAAGCCGAGUUUCUGAAAAGUCAAUUAAACGGCCAACUUGCAGCCACUGAUGGUAAUCAGGUAGUACAGGAAAUAGCAUGACUAACCUCAGCAGCAUACGGCACAGGCUGUACGUGCUCAAAAGAGUAGCAGCAAGCACUCGCUCACUGCAGAUUCUCCUGUGCGAAGGAAACCAAAGCAGCACAUUUCCAAAAGAGGCAAAGCAGUAGAUAUACAUAGCUGUGGAUGGGAUAUUACUGAUUUGAUGUCUCAUGGAGAUCUCAGAGGAGCUUGGUUGCAGCUGGAAAUGGAACUGAACAGAAAAAAAACUUCAACAGCAAAAACUGGACGAGGUGGGGGAAAGAAUUAAAGCUGCUCCCCAGGCAUGAUAAUUCAUGAAACUACCAAUUUUGGAGACUUGACACCUUUAUUGCAGCAGCUGGUGCUAACUGCUGUAGGAGACUGUGGGACAGCUGAUGUAUUGCACCCAGUCAAUUUUCUCCAACCUAUGGAGCUCAGAGUCCUGGCACAAGGACCUUCCACUCUGACCGCCAAGCUUUCCCCCAGAGAACAAGCUAUGUUGGCAACACCGAUGACCCCCCAGUCACAAAAGGACAAGCCAAAGCUUUGUGUUAUCUGAAUUUCACAAAAUGUCUACUUACCCCCUGCUUUGAGCAGGCUGUAAAGAAAGGGAAAGAUGUUGUUACUGGUUCUGGAAUGAGUCCUUCACACCAGCAGACUGGGAUGGAUCCAGCUGGUGAAAGAAACAUCAUGGAAACAAAAUCCACAGAGGAUCCACAUGGAAAAGAAUUCCUGAAGCCAAACACCAACAGAUCUCGGUAGUAUGUUGCAAACCAGACUUGAUAAAUAUGGCACUGCUAUAGGGCACAGACAAGGUUCAAAUCCUUCACCUUCUUUAAUUUACACAUGGGGGUGAACCUAAAUCUGCCACAUCCUUAAGUGCUCUGUCUGAAACCAGUGCAUGCAGCUCUUCCAGUUUCUCCUUUUGGAGUUGUUCUCUUCUGAGUAAAAAACCCAGCAUUUCAAGAAAGAAGAAAUGAUUCUCCAGCCUUAGAAGCUGAAAUCUUACAGCAGUUGGGCUGUU